rnacentral:tRNA from 1 species
GCUCGUAUGGCGAAAUUGGUAGACGCGGUAGACUCAAAAUCUACUUCUAGCGAUAGAGUUCCGGUUCAAGUCCGGAUACGAGCACCA